CAGCAACGUCCAUCCGUGCAUGCCUCUUCAUUUUUGCGUCAAGGUCGGGUUGGCCUUGAGUGCUUGUUGGGUUCCUGUGUUGCCUACCUACUCGAUGGUAUUGUAUUGUUUUAAUAACGACCCUUUUCGUUGCUCGUCGCUCAUGGGGCGUGCGAUGAACCUAAAAGUGGCCAUUUUGAUCCAUGUCUUUGACGCAUUUGCGUUGUCGAUGUGGCCCAAAGGGCGCCACUGGGUUUCUUGGAUACGGAACGUUGUGUGGGUACGGGGUUUCUAAUGACCUUGUGUGUACCAUUGCUAGGCGUUCUCGCUUCUUUGAAACGACUGUCGGUCGCAUGCUGAUUUCAUCUCGUGCGGCAGGCAACGUCGAAG
rnacentral:misc_RNA from 1 species